CUUGGUGCUGACGAGUGGCGGACGGGUGAGUAAUGCAUAGGAAUCUGCCCUUUAGCGGGGGAUAACUCGGGGAAACUCGGGCUAAUACCGCAUACGCCCUACGGGGGAAAGCGGGGGCCUUCGGGCCUCGCACUAUUGGAUGAGCCUAUGUCUGAUUAGUUUGUUGGUGGGGUAAUGGCCUACCAAGGCGACGAUCAGUAGCUGGUCUGAGAGGACGAUCAGCCACACUGGGAUUGAGAUACGGCCCAGACUCCUACGGGAGGCAGCAGUGGGGAAUAUUGGACAAUGGGCGAAAGCCUGAUCCAGCAAUGCCGCGUGUGUGAAGAAGGCCCGAGGGUUGUAAAGCACUUUCAACAGUAAAGAAAAGUUCGAUGCUAAUACCAUCGAACCCUGACGUUAGCUGUAGAAGAAGCACUGGCUAACUCCGUGCCAGCAGCCGCGGUAAUACGGAGGGUGCAAACGUUAAUCGGAAUCACUGGGCGUAAAGAGCUCGUAGGUGGUUUGUCAAGUGGGAUGUGAAAGCCUUGGGCUCAACCCGAGAACUGCAUUCCAAACUGGUGAACUAGAGUACGGGAGAGGGAGGUGGAAUUUCACGUGUAGCGGUGGAAUGCGUAGAGACGUGAAGGAACGCCAAUGGCGAAGGCAGCCUCCUGGACCGAUACUGACACUGAGGAGCGAAAGCGUGGGUAGCAAACAGGCUUAGAUACCCUGGUAGUCCACGCCGUAAACGAUGAGAACUAGCCGUUGGAGACCUAAUGGGUUUUUAGUGGCGCAGCUAACGCGAUAAGUUCUCCGCCUGAGGAGUACGACCGCAAGGUUAAAACUCAAAUGAAUUGACGGGGGCCCGCACAAGCGGUGGAGCAUGUUGUUUAAUUCGAUGCAACGCGAAGAACCUUACCACCCCUUGACAUCCCUGGAACUGUCUGGAGACAGAUAGAUGCCUUUCGGGGAGCCAGGUGACAGGUGCUGCAUGGCUGUCGUCAGCUCGUGUCGUGAGAUGUUGGGUUAAGUCCCGUAACGAGCGCAACCCUUGCCCUUAAUUGCCAGCGGAUAAAGCCGGGAACUUUAAGGGGACUGCCGGUGAUAAACCGGAGGAAGGCGGGGAUGAUGUCAAGUCAUCAUGGCCCUUACGGGGUGGGCUACAAACGUGCUACAAUGGAAGAUACAAAGGGCAGCAAGCUGGCGACAGCAAGCCAAUCCUCAAAGUCUUUCGCAGUCCGGAUCGCAGUCUGCAACUCGACUGCGUGAAGUUGGAAUCGCUAGUAAUCGCGAAUCAGAAUGUCGCGGUGAAUACGUUCCCGGGCCUUGUACACACCGCCCGUCACGUCAUGGAAG
rnacentral:rRNA from 1 species